rnacentral:misc_RNA from 1 species
GAAAUGCGAUAAGUAAUGUGAAUUGCAGAAUUCAGUGAAUCAUCGAAUCUUUGAACGCACAUUGCGCUCGCCAGUAUUCUGGCGAGCAUGCCUGUUUGAGCGUCAUUUCAACCAUCAAGCUCUGCUUGCGUUGGGGAUCCGCGGCUGCCCGCGGUCCCUCAAAAACAGUGGCGGGCUCGCUAGUCACACCGAGCGUAGUAACUCUACAUCGCUAUGGUCGUGCGGCGGGUUCUUGCCGUAAAACCCCCAAUUUCUAAGGUUGACCUCGGAUCAGGUAGGAAUACCCGCUGAACUUAAGC